UGGGGAAUAUUGCACAAUGGGCGCAAGCCUGAUGCAGCCAUGCCGCGUGUAUGAAGAAGGCCUUCGGGUUGUAAAGUACUUUCAGCGGGGAGGAAGGGAGUAAAGUUAAUACCUUUGCUCAUUGACGUUACCCGCAGAAGAAGCACCGGCUAACUCCGUGCCAGCAGCCGCGGUAAUACGGUGGGUGCAAGCGUUAAUCGGAAUUACUGGGCGUAAAGCGCACGCAGGCGGUUUGUCAAGUCGGAUGUGAAAUCCCCGGGCUCAACCUGGGAGCUGCAUUCGAAACUGGCAGGCUAGAGUCUUGUAGAGGGAGGUAGAAUUACAGGUGUAGGGGUGAAAUGCGUAGAGAUCUGGAGGAAUACCGGUGGCGAAGGCGGCCCCCUGGACGAAGACUGACGCUCAGGUGCGAAAGCGUGGGGAGCAAACAGG
rnacentral:rRNA from 1 species